CCGCAUUUUGUAAGUUGUUGCAUGAAAUUGCUCGCGCGUCUCAAUGUACUUUGGUGUAAUUACCUCUUAAUUUUUUGGCAUGGUACACAAAACAUUGUCUUCGUAGAAAACAAAUGAAAAAAAAACACUAUGCAGCAUGCCGCAGGAGACUCGGGAUCUGACCACUGAGUUGCCGCAGGGUGGUCAAGCUGCUCAAUUGUAUGUACACCUACGUUGAUACUUCAGAAAAUGGACU
rnacentral:lncRNA from 1 species